rnacentral:tRNA from 2 species
GCGGAUGUGGCGGAACUGGCAGACGCGCUAGAUUUAGGUUCUAGUGGGGCAACCCGUGCAGGUUCGAUUCCUGUCAUCCGCA